UGACGAAUAACGUGAAUCUCGAUUCUUUGAACGCACUUGCGCCCCUUGGUAUCCCGAGGGGCAUGCCUGUUCGAGCGUCAUU
rnacentral:rRNA from 1 species